GGCCCGAGUGCGCCGGCGCGACCCGCCUGGCUUUGGCAGCGCGGCGACUGAGGCCGGGCUCCAGCUCCGUGGCUCCCGCCGGCGCCGGCCCGGUGGCUCUGCUGUCUUGGCUGCAUCUCUCCUGCAUAUUUAUGAUCGUCUGUCACAUUCCCUGUCCGUGGACAGUGUCCAAAGCCUAGCUCGGGGGAGCGUGCCAACAGGUGCAUCCCUUAUACUGUCUGUUCUUGGCUCUCCGGCUUCUGAGGUCCUGAAGGGAAUGUGCUCUGGUUCACUCCACAAUGCCACCUGUUCUUAUGGGAACCCAACUAUUCAUCUCCCACUUUCGUCUUGAUUACCACAAAUCAUUACAAAUAUACAAUAAAAUUUCCAAUUUUCAAAGCAA